rnacentral:rRNA from 1 species
GCUCACCUCUUCCCAUCCCGAACAGAGAAGUUAAGCCCGCCUGCGCAGAUGGUACUGCAGUUUUGUGGGAGAGUAUGUCGUCGCCUUUC